UGGUGUAGCUCACUGGUAGAGCGCCUACCUAACAUGCAUGAGGUCUUGGGUUCAGCCCCCAGCACCA
rnacentral:tRNA from 1 species